rnacentral:rRNA from 1 species
CAUGGUUGUCGUCAGCUCGUGUCGUGAGAUGUUGGGUUAAGUCCCGCAACGAGCGCAACCCUUACCUUCAGUAGCCAGCACGUAAUGGUGGGCACUCUGGAGGGACUGCCGGGGACAACCCGGAGGAAGGUGGGGACGACGUCAAAUCAUCAUGCCCCUUAUGGCCUGGGCUACACACGUGCUACAAUGGCGUAAACAGAGGGAGGCAGCCCCGCGAGGGUGAGCAAACCCCAAAAAUAACGUCCCAGUUCGGAUUGCAGUCUGCAACUCGACUGCAUGAAGCUGGAAUCGCUAGUAAUCGCGGAUCAGAAUGCCGCGGUGAAUACGUUCCCGGGUCUUGUACACACCGCCCGUCACACCAUGGGAGUUGGUAACGCCCGAAGUCAGUGACCUAACCGAAAGGGAGGAGCUGCCGAAGGUGGGACCAGUGACUGGGGUGAAGUCGUAACAAGGUAGCCGUAUCGGAAGGUGCGGCUGGAUCACCUC